rnacentral:rRNA from 1 species
UGGGGAAUAUUGCACAAUGGGCGCAAGCCUGAUGCAGCCAUGCCGCGUGUAUGAAGAAGGCCUUCGGGUUGUAAAGUACUUUCAGCGGGGAGGAAGGGAGUAAAGUUAAUACCUUUGCUCAUUGACGUUACCCGCAGAAGAAGCACCGGCUAACUCCGUGCCAGCAGCCGCGGUAAUACGGAGGGUGCAAGCGUUAAUCGGAAUUACUGGGCGUAAAGCGCACGCAGGCGGUUUGUUAAGUCAGAUGUGAAAUCCUCGGGCUCAACCUGGGAACUGCAUCUGAUACUGGCAAGCUUGAGUCUCGUAUAGGGGGGUAGAAUUCCAGGUGUAGCGGUGAAAUGCGUAGAGAUCUGGAGGAAUACCGGUGGCGAAGGCGGCCCCCUGGACGAAGACUGACGCUCAGGUGCGAAAGCGUGGGGAGCAAACAGG